rnacentral:rRNA from 1 species
CACGUAGGGCGCAAGCGUUGUCCGGAUUUAUUGGGCGUAAAGAGCUCGUAGGUGGUUCGGUAAGUCGGAUGUGAAAUCUCCAGGCUCAACCUGGAGGGGUCAUUCGAUACUGCCGUGACUAGAGUUCGGUAGGGGAGUGUGGAAUUCCUGGUGGAGCGGUGAAAUGCGCAGAUAUCAGGAGGAACACCCGUAGCGAAGGCGGCACUCUGGGCCGAUACUGACACUGAGGAGCGAAAGCGUGGGGAGCGAACAGG